rnacentral:rRNA from 1 species
UACGUAGGGUGCGAGCGUUGUCCGGAAUUAUUGGGCGUAAAGAGCUCGUAGGCGGUGUGUCACCGGUCGAUCGUGAAAACUUGGGGCUUAACCCUGAGCUUGCGGUCGAUACGGGGCAUCACUGGAGUUCGGCAGGGGAGACUGGAAUUCCUGGUGUAGCGGUGGAAAUGCGCAGAUAUCAGGAGGAACACCGAUGGCGAAGGCGGCGUCCUGGACCAACACUGAC